rnacentral:rRNA from 1 species
UUGAAGGCCCUGCAAAGCAGCAUCGCGGUGGCGGAGCGUCGUUUGCGACGCCCAACACACAAAACAAGCGGUGAGUGCUUUGGGGUGGGGUGACUGCGUACCUUUUGUAUAAUGGGUCAGCGACUUAUAUUCUGUAGCAAGGUUAACCGUAUAGGGGAGCCGAAGGGAAACCGAGUCUUAACUGGGCGUUAAGUUGCAGGGUAUAGACCCGAAACCCGGUGAUCUAGCCAUGGGCAGGUUGAAGGUUGGGUAACACUAACUGGAGGACCGAACCGACUAAUGUUGAAAAAUUAGCGGAUGACUUGUGGCUGGGGGUGAAAGGCCAAUCAAACCGGGAGAUAGCUGGUUCUCCCCGAAAGCUAUUUAGGUAGCGCCUCGUGAACUCAUCUUCGGGGGUAGAGCACUGUUUCGGCUAGGGGGUCAUCCCGACUUACCAACCCGAUGCAAACUGCGAAUACCGAAGAAUGUUAUCACGGGAGACACACGGCGGGUGCUAACGUCCGUCGUGAAGAGGGAAACAACCCAGACCGCCAGCUAAGGUCCCAAAGUCACAGUUAAGUGGGAAACGAUGUGGGAAGGCUCAGACAGCCAGGAUGUUGGCUUAGAAGCAGCCAUCAUUUAAAGAAAGCGUAAUAGCUCACUGGUCGAGUCGGCCUGCGCGGAAGAUGUAACGGGGCUAAACUGUGCACCGAAGCUGCGGCAGCGACGCUUAUGCGUUGUUGGGUAGGGGAGCGUUCUGUAAGCCUGCGAAGGUGUCCUGUGAGGGAUGCUGGAGGUAUCAGAAGUGCGAAUGCUGACAUAAGUAACGAUAAUGCGGGUGAAAAGCCCGCUCGCCGGAAGACCAAGGGUUCCUGUCCAACGUUAAUCGGGGCAGGGUGAGUCGACCCCUAAGGCGAGGCCGAAAGGCGUAGUCGAUGGGAAACGGGUUAAUAUUCCCGUACUUGGUGUUACUGCGAAGGGGGGACGGAGAAGGCUAUGUUGGCCGGGCGACGGUUGUCCCGGUUUAAGCGUGUAGGCUGGUUUUCCAGGCAAAUCCGGAAAAUCAAG